GAGCAACCGCUCAGGAGCCAUGGAGAGCGGCGGACCAGGCAACUACAGCGCGGCCGCCCGGCGGCCACUGCACUCGGCCCAAGCCGUGGACGUGGCCUCGGCCUCCAGCUUCCGCGCCUUCGAGAUCCUGCACCUGCACCUGGACCUGCGGGCCGAGUUCGGGCCUCCGGGCCCGGGUCCGGGAAGCCGCGGAUUGAGCGGCACGGCGACGCUGGAGCUGCGUUGUUUGCUUCCCGAGGGCGCCUCGGAGCUGCGGCUCGACUCGCACAGCUGCUUGGAGGUGACGGCGGCGACGCUGCGACGGGGACAGCCGGGAGACCAGCAGGCGCCGGCAGAGCCCGUGCCUUUCCACACACAGCCCUUCUCGCACUAUGGCCAGGCCCUGUGCGUGGCCUUCCGGCAGCCCUGCGGUGCCGCCGAUCGCUUCGAGCUGGAGCUCACCUACCGCGUCGGGGAGGGACCCGGGGUUUGCUGGUUGGCUCCUGAGCAGACAGCAGGAAAGAAGAAACCCUUUGUCUAUACCCAGGGUCAGGCGGUCUUAAACCGAGCCUUUUUCCCUUGCUUUGACACUCCAGCAGUGAAAUGCACGUAUUCGGCUCUUAUUGAGGUUCCAGAUGGCUUCACAGCUGUGAUGAGUGCAGACACCUGGGAGAAGAGAGGACCAAAUAAGUUCUUCUUCCAGAUGAGCCAUCCCAUCCCCUCCUAUCUGAUAGCUUUGGCCAUUGGAGAUCUGGCUUCAGCUGAGGUUGGACCCAGGAGCCGGGUGUGGGCGGAGCCCUGCCUGAUUGAAGCUGCCAAGGAGGAAUACAGUGGGGUCAUAGAAGAAUUUCUGGCAACAGGAGAGAAGCUUUUCGGACCCUAUGUUUGGGGAAGGUAUGACUUGCUCUUUAUGCCACCGUCCUUUCCAUUUGGAGGAAUGGAAAAUCCUUGCCUGACCUUUGUCACUCCGUGCCUGCUAGCAGGGGACCGCUCGUUAGCCGACGUUAUCAUCCAUGAGAUCUCCCACAGUUGGUUUGGGAACCUGGUCACCAAUGCCAACUGGGGGGAGUUCUGGCUCAAUGAAGGCUUCACCAUGUAUGCCCAGAGGAGGAUCUCCACCAUCCUGUUUGGAGCUGCUUACACUUGCUUGGAGGCUGCCACAGGGAGGGCUCUGCUGCGUCAGCACAUGAAUGUCUCCGGAGAGGAAAACCCACUCAACAAGCUCCGGGUGAAGAUUGAACCAGGUGUGGACCCCGAUGACACCUACAAUGAGACCCCCUACGAGAAAGGUUACUGCUUUGUCUCAUACCUGGCCCACCUGGUGGGUGAUCAGGAUCAGUUUGACAAGUUUCUCAAGGUACAGUCAACUCUCCAUGUGGGGAGAAGGACAAGGAACAGGCCUAUGUAGAUGAGUUUAAAUUCCAAAGUAUCUUGGCUGAAGACUUUCUGGAAUUCUACCUGGAGUAUUUCCCUGAGUUGAAGAAGAAGGGAGUAGAUUCCAUUCCAGGUUUUGAGUUUGAUCGAUGGCUGAACACCCCUGGAUGGCCCCCCUACCUCCCCGACCUCUCCCCUGGGGACUCACUCAUGAAGCCAGCUGAAGAGCUGGCAGAACUGUGGGUGACCUCAGAGCCAGACAUGCAAGCCAUUGAAGCCGUGGCCAUCUCUACCUGGAAGACCUACCAGCUUGUCUACUUCCUAGAUAAGAUCUUGCAGAAGUCUCCUCUCCCUCCUGGGAAUGUGAAAAAACUUGGGGAGACAUACCCAAAGAUUUCCAAUGCUCAGAAUGCUGAGUUACGGCUAAGAUGGGGCCAAAUCAUCCUUAAGAAUGACUACCAAGAGGAAUUCCAGAAAGUGAAGGACUUCCUGCAGAGCCAGGGAAAGCAGAAGUACACUCUGCCUCUGUACCACGCCAUGAUGGGUGGCAGUGAGAUGGCCCGGACCCUGGCCAAGGACACCUUUGCCGCCACUGCUUCCCAGCUCCACAGCAACGUCGUCAACUAUGUCCAGCAGAUCCUGGCGCCCAAGGACAGUUAGAGGCUUCGCCUGGGUGGUCCCUGCCUCAGAAAGGCUUCACAGGCUUCCUGAAGAACUGCUCCUUCCCAAAUUCAUGUUCUCACUCCAGUGCCCCGGAGCUUCUGUUCUUUGGGUUUGGGUCUCUGCCCUGGUGGCGGCUUCUGGUCUAGAGAGUCCUGAGAGUCCUAGGAGGCCUCCCAUGCUCCCCCUAGCCCAGGCUGCAGAGAGUAAAAUGUCAUUCUUUUUCACUUUAAAUAAAUGUUUUUAAGCAAGAAGUAGAUAA